GAGGAAUAUUGGUCAAUGGGCGAGAGCCUGAACCAGCCAAGUAGCGUGCAGGAUGACGGCCCUAUGGGUUGUAAACUGCUUUUGUAUGGGGAUAAAGUCAAUCACGUGUGAUUGUUUGCAGGUACCAUACGAAUAAGGACCGGCUAAUUCCGUGCCAGCAGCCGCGGUAAUACGGAAGGUCCGGGCGUUAUCCGGAUUUAUUGGGUUUAAAGGGAGCGUAGGCUGGAGAUUAAGUGUGUUGUGAAAUGUAGACGCUCAACGUCUGACUUGCAGCGCAUACUGGUUUCCUUGAGUACGCACAACGUUGGCGGAAUUCGUCGUGUAGCGGUGAAAUGCUUAGAUAUGACGAAGAACUCCGAUUGCGAAGGCAGCUGACGGGAGCGCAACUGACGCUGAAGCUCGAAGGUGCGGGUAUCGAACAGGAUUAGAUACCCUGGUAGUCCGCCCAGUAAACGAUGGAUGCCCGCUGUUGGUACCUGGUAUCAGCGGCUAAGCGAAAGCAUUAAGCAUCCCACCUGGGGAGUACGCCGGCAACGGUG
rnacentral:rRNA from 1 species